rnacentral:rRNA from 1 species
CAAUAGCGUAUAUUUAAGUUGUUGCAGUUAAAAAGCUCGUAGUUGAAUUUCUGGUGGGCGCGCCGGUCUUCCAAGUGUUGUACUGGGCGCAGUCCGCCAUCCUUGUGGAGAGGGCUCGCAUUGAGUUGCGUGUCGGAUCUGCAUCAUUUACUGUGAAAAAAUUAGAGUGUUUAAAGCAGGCUGUCGCUUGAAUACAUUAGCAUGGAAUAAUAAGAUAGGACUUCGGUCUAUUUUGUUGGUUGCGAACCGAGGUAAUGAUUAAUAGGGAUAGUUGGGGGUAUUCAUAUUUAAUUGUCAGAGGUGAAAUUCUUGGAUUUAUGAAAGAUGAACAACUGCGAAAGCAUUUACCAAGGAUGUUUNCAUUAA